AUCGUCACCGGUCCCACGAAGUGACACGAAUGUCAAAAAGUAAGCCUUUUCGGAUUUUUUUUUUUUUACAUAUUCCGUUAGGGUUGAAGGAAAUCUUCAUUCUCAUUGAGUUUAAAAGUCAAAAAAAGUGUUGCCAUGGUAUUUAAAGGUUUUACGUUUUGUAACAUACAUGUCGAAAACCGCUGUUUGCGUUUUCACGAACUGACACCAAGAUAACUGUCACUUCGUGAAAACGGCGCGCGCCCACCCGGCGGUUUCACGAAGUGACACAAACUGAACUCAUCCCCAAAUCUGAUCGAACCCUCACGCUGCAAAAUGCGCAUUAUGUUCGUCUUCGUGGGGACAAGAGCUGCGCGCAUGUGCAUUGUCCGCUUGACAACAACACAGAUCACAUGGAAGGCUUGGCAGGCUGUAACGUGUUGUGUAUGGUGAUUUUAGUUCUGCAAAGUGCACAGAUGUAAUACUACACACGGAAUGGCUUCACUUUACAUCCCCCAAAAGGUUUAAUUUCCGCAGACCUUGGUCUUGGUCUUGGAUCUUGAUUAGUCGUGAGUUUUGGGCCCAGCAGAUAUAAGGACUUCAUGGAAUUUAGCGGAGACAAACCGAAGAUGAGUACUUCAUAAGAGCACGAGGGCAAAACAAUAACUUAUACAGGUUUGUAACCAUGACAUUGGCUGCAUGUCUAUUACAUGUACAUAACUGUUGACUUCAGUUUGUGGAUUUACAACAGCUGAAUGGUCUUAUUUUGAAAACAAACCCCCCGACUUAACUAUGUGAACAGAAAUUAAAAGCCAGUGUGUGUUUUACACUGUUUACUGACUAUUAUAUGAAAGCACACAGGAACACGUAAAACAAUGAUAUCGUUUUUCACUCGUGAUAGGUUUUGCAUACAUUUUAAAAUGUUGUUUGUCGAGUAUUCAUAUUUUCUUGUUUUUCUGUUUUAAUGUGUCUGA